rnacentral:rRNA from 1 species
GACGAACGCUGGCGGCGUGCUUAACACAUGCAAGUCGAACGAAGAGCGAUGGAAGCUUGCUUCUAUCAAUCUUAGUGGCGAACGGGUGAGUAACGCGUAAUCAACCUGCCCUUCAGAGGGGGACAACAGUUGGAAACGACUGCUAAUACCGCAUACGAUCUGACCUCGGCAUCGAGGAUAGAUGAAAGGUGGCCUCUACAUGUAAGCUAUCACUGAAGGAGGGGAUUGCGUCUGAUUAGCUAGUUGGAGGGGUAACGGCCCACCAAGGCGAUGAUCAGUAGCCGGUCUGAGAGGAUGAACGGCCACAUUGGGACUGAGACACGGCCCAGACUCCUACGGGAGGCAGCAGUGGGGAAUCUUCCGCAAUGGACGAAAGUCUGACGGAGCAACGCCGCGUGAGUGAUGACGGCCUUCGGGUUGUAAAGCUCUGUUAAUCGGGACGAAAGGCCUUUUUGCGAAUAGUGAGAAGGAUUGACGGUACCGGAAGAGAAAGCCACGGCUAACUACGUG